rnacentral:lncRNA from 1 species
GUAGCUUUGGAUGUUUUUUUCUCUUCUUACAAGACGGUAUGAGCUAGCCGUGUGCUCUUCAUAUGAAACUAUCUCAUUCUCAGCUUUUUUGUAAGAGAUGAGUAAACGGCGAUAUGACUUCCUAUGUACUCCCCGUGUAAGCUUGGGUGAUGCUCGGCCAAUUUUUUUUAAUUUUCUCCCUCUUUUCACACGGCAGGGUGACUUAACAAUUCAAU